GCAAGAAAUAACAAGACUGCUACUGCCCACUGUUUGGGGGGAUGUUUUCAGGGGCCAGGCCCUGUGCUUAGUGAAUUCUAGCAUACUGGUUAGAUCCUGCUAUCUGCACCCAAUUGUGAGACAGAUGGAAGUUAUCCACCCCAAUCCAAGAGAGCUGGUAAACCGUGGCACUUGGGUUGAAACCCACGUCUCUGGAAAGUCUGUGCUGUUUCUACUCUGUUCUGCACAGGAAAACAGAAGCUUCCAUGGGACACAUUCGGAACCUCUGCACAGGAACCAAGCAGGCUGAGCAAGGAUGGUACUCACCUCGCCAACGGUUCCCAGGGUUUGUGGCUUAAACACCACGUACACACUCACAGCCCUGGGGACCAAUCCCAUCACUCAGCAAGGUACUCCAUAUUUUCAACAGACUUCACCACUGUCCCCUCGUUGACAUAUUUAAGUGAGAUGGCCACCUCAUUUGGAGCAGCCCCAAAUGCAGUGACAUUGGUCUCUCCUUGGGGACCCUUCCUGUUCUACCCGAGGUAACAGUGCGGGCAUCUAGCUCCUUCCUGGAACCCAUGUGGGGAGGACACUGAGAGGAAGCACAGCCCCGGGAACAAUGCUUCCCAGACUCAGGGGAGUGCCUGGUAGACCAUGACCCUAUGAGUCUGGGUUGAACCCGGCCACGUUUGGCUUCUCUUGAUGUGCCUACCAUGGCUGCAUAUCCCCUGGAACAACUCCUAUUUAUUGUUUCCAGUUCCCACUCAUUCAUUCGAUAAACGUUGGUCUGCCAAUCCACACAGCCAGUGUUUGAGAACACCUAGCAGGCUUAGCGCGAGUUGCUAUGGGUAUGACUGAGAGAGAGAAAAGGUCCCCUGGCCAGACUUCCAUCUCAGUGGGUCAAACACAGUCACCAGUCCCCCGUCUAGGGACACAUGAUGGCCAACCGACAGGAUGAUUGUGGACUGUGGUAGAUGAUGCAGAAGCUGCCAGAGGGGCGGCUGCUGUUCCUUUAGACCCAGAGGUCAGGGAAGGCAUCCCCCCUCAAGGAGAUAACCCAGAAUGGAGCCCUGCAAGGUGGCAGGAAGGCCAUCAUGUGAGAGAGCAGAAAGUGGGCCAGCAGUCUUUGGCUAGCUCUCUGCGUCCACUCUCACCAGCCCUGCUCUGUGUACCCUCAUCCUCUGCUUCCUGUGGGGCUUAGU